ACAGUACAAACUGAGCAGACGGCGGGCCCGGGAAGCCCGUGCGUCGGGCCGCGUUCAGCGGCAGCGGAUGAGAUUCACCACACAUCUGCGGGACAGU
rnacentral:ncRNA from 1 species